rnacentral:lncRNA from 1 species
UCCUGGAUGCCUGAAUAAAUUCUGAACAGACAUCUCCCUCCUCACAGCUCCCGUGCCUCAUCCAACACCCCUCGGAAUCUGGAGCUGGGGACCGAACCCAGGACCUUGCGCUUGCUAGGCAAGCGCUCUACCACUGAACCAAAUCCCCAACCCCGAAUUGACUGUGUUUUACGAAGGACUCACCAAGCCAAGCUUUCUUCAGUCUCUCUCCCUUCCCCUCCCCCUCCUCCUCCCUCUCCCCACCUCUUUCUUUCUCUCCCACCCCCUCCCUCUGUCCCUUCUUUACCCGUUCUUCCUCUCUUCAUCUUGGUGACAGGGUUAGGAGAGAAAUCCUCGUGUGAAACACCACAUGACUUCAGCACCAACCUCCGUCAUCAGGAGUUUGCGCUCGGCCCUCCAAGCCUUCUCUGUCAGGCGUGUCUGAGUCUCUCUGGGAUGCAGACGUUUGCUGUAGUCGGAAAGCAGCUUGAAUCACAUCGACAGAACUCCCAGCAACUUAGAACCUCCUGGAAUUCACGGAGCAGCCUUGAAACUUUGGGAGUCACUGAACCAUUGCAACCUCGAGUGUGUGGGAAGAGGUUGCAAAUUUUAAACAGUGAAGCAGAUCUUUGGGGCUGGUGUGUUUCUAGAUGGUUGCAGAUGAGGGGACAUCAGGGGAGGUUGUGAGAGGCCAAAUCUUUUAAAUUCAGAUUCCAUUUUAGAGAAUUUGUACUCAGGUUAACUAACAGGCUGGUACCUAGCAUUGGUUUCCAAGUUACUGCCGCCUCUUCCCCAACAAAACACAAGCCUAGCUCCAGUUUCUAGGCUAAUCCCCAACAAGACCAGCAUCUCCAGGUUAAUCUCCCCCAACUAGUUUGGACUUACCAUGAUAACACCCCAAAGGCCCGCCUUCUAUCUAACAACCACCAAUGCAGAGGGAAAUAGAAGUUAAGUUUAUGGUUUGACUCCCAGCACCACCAAUUAUGCUAAAGGCCAUAGUAGCUCUCCAAUUAAAUGCUCAGCAGGCUAGAAGCGUGCGGGCACACACGCACACACACUCACACGCCACUUGCUGCUUUCUAUAAAACCUUACUCCAUAGAUGUUCGGGGACUCUUCCAUCAAAGCCAUCCUGCUGUGUCAGAGCUGGCAGGUGGGGCGCCCAAUCUUGAGCUUGUGAAUAAAGACCCUGGUGUGAUUGCAUC